rnacentral:sRNA from 21 species
UACUCAGCAUAUUCGAUAGUAUGCAUUUUAAUAUAAUCAGUUAUUGAUUAAAGAAAGAGUAG